rnacentral:lncRNA from 1 species
GCUUUGCUGCAGGUUUUCAAACUAUAACCAACAACAUACAUGAAAAUAUCCACAGAAAAAUUAAAUGAAAAUCCUGCAGCAAUACAGUCGCAUUCUUAAAUGCAGCAAUUUAGACAACCCACGUUUUACCUAAGCAACACUCACAAAACCACAAACAAUCCCAGAAAAGUUACUGACUUUAGAAUUAAUUCAAGUAUAUUAGGAGCACGUUUGCACUCAAUACAGGGAACCAGUCGAAAGCAAAUCCGUAGCUCUUCUAACUUUUCUAAUUGAAAUUUGUGGGCAAUAAAAGCUGUCGACAAAAUAAAACAAAAUUUUCACAAAUUAUCAAAAAAAAAUUCAGCAACAAAUUGCCAAUGAAAAGCACACAAUUCAUAAACAAUCAAAAUUAAAAGCAGGAAAGAGUGAGAGUAGUGUAUCAGGCCGAUGUCUGACUCGUCAUGGAGAGCUUCAGUCACUUAUCCUGGCAACUCGGCUAAAAGAGCUUUGAGAGAAAAAUAGGCAUUAUCGCAACUAUCUUGAGAAGUGAAUUUCACAUGCACAACUGAAAUUUCAAAACCCACCACUGAAGCACCCUAUGGAAACAACAAAGAAGAAAUUUAGUCAACUUUUCCAUGAAAAUCCACCCGUAGACUAUUUGUGCAUUCCUUAAACAAAGUUAUUUUCUGAUCAUUAGUAUCCUAACCAAAGCAAUUUCCAACUUCAACAUUCAAAAGGAAAACAUACAGAGUUUAUAUUAAUCACUCAAAGUGAUGUUUAUAUUUUGUACCACUACUGAUUAACCUUAAUACAUACAUUUCGAGGUCCACACUAACACUUGAAACCUCUUUGACACAUAAUGCUGAAAAAUGCAAAUAAGUAAAUUGCUUUGAAAAAUAUAUUAGGAUGAUAUUACCUUCCCAAUCACAGCUUAUUUGCAUCUUGCCAAAAUUUUCGGACUCGGAUUUAAAAAAUUUCGACAUUGUAUUGCUAGGACCACCCAAUUC